ensembl:lncRNA
CACGUGGAUUCUGUUUCCAAGCCAUUACAAGAAACCAGCAAUGAGCUUGUUGGCUGAAUUUUGAUGAAUUAUAAUUUAAGUAGGAAACAUGGAAACUGAGUUUUUUUUUUAAAUGUCACAACUUGUUUCCUCCAAUCUUGAUUUGUGAAUGGGUUCUCAGAAGACAGAAGGUGAAAAUCAGCCUGGGCUCAUCCCGGGGUACCUAAUUGGCUUACCCUAGGCUAAUGAAUCAAGACAUUUCAAUUUACUAACAAAAUCUAUAGUUUGUUGUCCAUAACAUCUAAGUGUCCAGAGCUUCUGUUUCCCAAUUUUAACUUUUCCAGGGGUUGUAAAGACUUAAGUAGGGAUCAUUUCCUACUCUGCGCUCUCUAGAAAAUACUUGUGACCCUAUGAUCUUAAUCUUACGGCACCAGCUCUCAAGAAACCUGCUCAAAUUAACUAUAUAAACUAUAUCCAUUAAGGUCUUUUGCUUCCUUUUUUCCCCUCAACACAUAGCACAGUACCUGGCACGUAGUAGGUGCAUAAUGAAUGUUUAUUGACUGAUUUCAUGUCUGUACUGAUUGAGAACCGACUUGAUCUGGAUGUGCUGCAGGGCUUCCCGGUGUGAGGAAAAAGGCUUCGGAGAAUGUGCUCUUGGAUCCAUUGCAGUUGCUUUAAGAUGGCAAUCAGUGGAGAGGAUGGAGCUCUGGCCUGUAGGCCAGGGCUAAGACAGGAUGAAACGAGGAAAUAGGUUCGUGCCUCUGUGCAGAAGAAAAAAUAACCAGAAGUAACUUUACCAGAUGGUGUCUUGCCAUGUUUUUUGCCCAUUGUAACAUUUCUAUAGAGCAAGGUAAGUGGCCAUCCGUCCCAAAGGAACUAAAGGGUCCAUCAGAAUUAUUCACUUCAAUACAGGAGGGCAAGUAGACCAUUAAUGAUCUUAGCCAAGUCAUUGCUCUUAGCCUUGGUCAUCUGUAAAGGGAGAGCCCCAGGAGCUGCAGACUCCCCUUCUUAGGGCAGUUGGGCCCAAAUAAGAGAAAGUAAAGUAUUUGGCACAUUUUAGCUAGGUGUUAUUCAUGAAACUGAAUCUUAAAGCUGAUGUUUACAGAAAAUAACUUCAAUGAGAGCUUUAUCCUACAACUAUUUCUUAAGCAAAACAAACCCUUUGUUGUUUGAUUUUUAACCAGUGAGAAAUACCGGACACUUUGUUAUUUGAGAACAAACAGAAGAAAACUUAGGAGGGGAGGGAAGGGGCAACUGACUUUCUGGCUGUUAGUAGGACUGCAUUACCUUUCCUCCCAGAGGGCCCCAUUUUCUGCUUCAGUUUACAAUGAUGUAAUUUGGCAGAUUGGGGAAGGUCAAUUUAGAUUUCCUUGAUACUGUCAGAAUGGGGGGGUGGAAGGGGCACAGAUUGAACCAUGUAAACAUUUCUGCUUUUUGUAAGAUAUUAGCAAUCCCUCCCCAUCUUCCACCCAUCUCAAGCAGCAAAGUGGGAAAUGUGGCCGCCUUAACUGGACUCUCUCCCUUCCUGUCGUGGCCUUGGAGCAACAUCUUCAAACAAGUGAGCAUUGCCAAGAGGUUAGAAAAUUGUGACAAAUCCUAGGACCUGUUAAGUUAGGACUUGGAGAGAGAAAUGAGACUCCAGGCAGACAAGAAGUACAUCCACCCGCUGAAGUUCCAUGUUGGAGCGUAUGAAGCAUAAGCUCAUUGGUUCAGAUGGGGAUUCCCAUGGUCAGACCUUGAGCUGAGGCUCCAUGGUCAAGGACCAGUCACUCAGGGGGCUCCUUUCUCUUCUGGAAUGAGAUUGGCUAGACCCCCUUUAUCGGGCGUCUUCAGGCUCUGGGCCUGGGAAGUGACUUGGCCAGAGUUUGAACCUUCCUGCAUUGAGGUCCAGCCUCCUGGUGAGGAGGAGGAGUUUCACCUGCUCCAGGGAGCCUAGGAUAGAAUAGGAGACAAGUUCCUAAAGACAGACUUGGGAUCCAAGUGUAAGCUCGUGUCAUUCAAUCUGGCUGUAUGCAAGGAGCCGAGAGCAUGGGUAAGGACACUGGAAUUGAUAGGAGUGAAUUUUUCAGGGCCUGAGUUUCCAUGUUAAGUGUUAUUCAUAGUCUUGGAUUAAGGCAGACAAUCAACAAAACUGUGCAUCAUAUUUUAAGUUGCAAAUAGGAGGUUCUUAGUUUUCUUUUUUUUCCUCUCCUUCACAAUAUUAAAACUCCUCUCUGUGGUUCUACAAAAGCACUUCAAUAUUUUAUGUGUGCUCAUCUCAUUUUACCUCACACAUCAGCAAGGAAUCAGCAAGUAGGGACAGAACUGCUUCUGUUACUUAUUCCUAAUUUAUAUUCGCUUGAGUGUUUUCCACAGAGGGGGCUUCCUUCUCCACUACCAGCCACUACCCCCUUUGUUGAGCUUUCUCUUAACCCUGGUGAUGGAGACAGAAGAUGAUAAAAAAUUGACAAGGGAACAAGCUGCUUUGGGUGCUAUUAAGUUACAGAUAGUCUGAUUAGAAUUCUUGGCUGUCUUUCUGUUGCCAUCCUCAGGCAGAAGUGCUAAUUAAGUAAUCCCAAGUUAGCAAAAAGCAGAAAAGAGCCCCCCAGUUCCUAAACGAUUCUGAGGAAGCAAGAUUGGCCUUAGGUUUCCGCUUCCCUCGUUAAGAUGGCAGGACCGUAGAAAAGACUUCAGAAACCAUCUAGUCUCUUUUUACAGAAGAAAAAAUGUCCGUGUCCCAAAGAAUUGGUAGCUGAUGACAACCACAAGUCCAAAUUUAAAAUAGAAUUUCGUCUUCACUAAUGGCCCGCCUUGCCCAGAAAGAUAAAUGUGCUUGUUCACAUUCUUCUACUGCUGACUUAGACCAUUAACUGGGUCCAGAACGAGUCCAAUGAUCACAAACAGAAACCUCUUAAUAGAUACAAGUCAGCAUUCCCGAGUAAGAAUGGGCCACAAGGUGGCAAGGGUAAAAGAAGAGAACAGCAACGAAUCCAGUGCAAGACUGAUGGUAUCGCCAACAUUUUAUAAUUUUAUAAGAUUGACGAUAGUUUAAGUCUGAGCUUACGCUUGAUUCAGUGUAAGUUGCUAAGGGACUCAUGGGAAUAGCCAGUUUGGCUACUACAGGUAUUCCCGAGUCAGUCCUUAACAUCCACAAAUUUGUGACAGGGUUAAAUAGAGUAGCUGAGCUACAUGACAUUACGGAUAGAGUAUUGGGCCUGGGGCCAAGAAGACGAGUUCAAAUGCGCCUUCCUAGUGUGACCCUGGGUAAGUCACUUCGCCCUCUGUGCCUCAGUUUCCUCAUCUGUAAAAUGAGCAGAAGGAAUAUCGAACCACUCCAAAUUCUGUUGCCAAAAACAUUCCAAAUCUGGUCAUGAGGAGUUUGAACUGAAAAGUGAAUGAACGACAUCUCUAAAGGAUUUAGCAUCUUUUAAAGAUGAUUAAUGGGGCACACUGAGUACCGCUUCUUUUAAAAGGCCAUCUUCAAUAUUUGACUGGGGAAAUGGGUAUCUUUUGUCAGUCACCAUAACUCAAUAAUACAUUUCCUUGGAAAACACACUGAAAGGUGAAAAUUAGUUAAUUUUUUUUUUGUCUGUGGCACUUAAGAAUAACCCAUCUCAUUCUGUUUCUUCCUGUCCUAAAGAAUCUGUGGUCUUGCACGGUUGUCUUUGGGCUCAUGGUGGGUGAAUUAGCAAACCAGAUAAAGGCCUUGGGCCCAUAGACCCAAAAGCCUGGUCUCUUUCUGCUGUUUGCUCAUGGGAAGGACUGGGGUGAGUUGCUUGAAUUAACUUUGAAUAAAAUGAAUAUGUUCCUUCCAAGCAAUCGGAGCAAAGUUAGUACUUAUACAUCAUGUUACUUGGAAGUAACUAUAAAGCGUUCUUCAUGGCUCACGUUCAGUCAUUUUGAAUCUAAACAAGUGAACAAAGCAUGUCUGACGCCUGAGAAAUUUAUCCAAUGUUGUAGUCACUUAAGAUUUCUUGAACCAGACCUGGGCUCCUUAUAUAUAUGUAUAUACAACUCAAUUUCAAACUAUCCUGACCCCAACAACCCCCAUCCUGAGGAAGCCUUGGCUUUGCUCUAAGGUGAAGGUUUACCCAACUGGCUAAUUCUUCUUCCUAAGUGGUUGCCGUGGAGUGUCAGUAAGCCCAUAAUGAUAACUAUUUAUGGUAGACUCAUUUAUUUAUUCUCUGUAUCUCUGUAGUUUUGU